AGGGCGUACGGUGAAUGCCUUGGUGCCAACAGGCGAAGAAGGACGCGGCAAGCUGCGAAAAGCCUCGGGAAGCUGCAAGCAAGCGAUGAUCCGGGGAUAUCCGAAUGGGGUAACCUGAUCGAGGCAAUACUCGAUCGUUCAUACCUGAAUACAUAGGGUAUGAAACGCGAAACCCGCUGAAGUGAAACAUCUCAGUAAGCGGAGGAAAAGAAAGAGAAAUCGAUUCCGUAAGUAGUGGCGAGCGAAAGCGGAUGGAGCCCAAACCGAAGGUAUUCCUUCGGGGUUGUAGGACCACGUCAUAUUCGACCAUACUGGAUAGUAGAACAGCCUGGAAAGGCUGGCCGGAGAAGGUGAAAGCCCUGUAGACGAAAUCCAGAGUGGGAAUUAGUGGUAUCCUGAGUAAUACAUCACACGUGGAACGAUGUAUGAACCCGCGCGGACCACCGCGCAAGGCUAAAUACUAGUUGGCGACCGAUAGUGAACAAGUACCGCGAGGGAAAGGUGAAAAGAACCGCUGUGAGCGGAGUGAAAUAGAACCUGAAACCGUAUGUCUACAAAGUGUCAGAGCAGAGCAAUCUGCGAUGGCGUGCCUUUUGUUUAAUGAGUCUGCGAGUCAGUGUUUGUGGCAAGACUAAGGGCUUCCGGCCCGGAGUCGCAGCGAAAGCAAGUCCGAACAGGGCGCAAUAAGUCGCAGGUACUGGACCCGAAGCGGAGGUGACCUACCCUUGGCCAGGUUGAAGCAUGGGUAAAACCAUGUGGAGGACCGAACAGGUGAACGUUGAAAAGUUCUCUGAUGAGCUGAGGGUAGGAGUGAAAGGCUAAUCAAACCCCGUGAUAGCUGGUUCUCUUCGAAAUGCAUUUAGGUGCAGCGUCACGUGCUGAUGCGCGGGGGUAGAGCACUGACAAGGCUAGGGGGCACACCCGCUUACCAAACCUUAUCAAACUCCGAAUACCGUGCAAUGGAACGUGGCAGUGAGACAGUGGGGGAUAAGCUUCAUUGUCGAGAGGGAAACAACCCAGACCAGCAGCUAAGGUGCCUAAAUAACGCUCAGUGGAAAGGAUGUGGGAUUACACAGACAGUGAGGAUGUUGGCUUAGAAGCAGCCACCAUUUAAAAAAUGCGUAAUAGCUUACUCAUCGAGUGAUCCUGCGCCGAAAAUGAUUGGCGAUCAAGCGUUAUACCGAAGCUCUGGACUUUGCCGCAAGGCAGAGUGGUAGAAGAGCGUUGCAUGCGCGUCGAAGGGCGAUGGCGACUGACCCUGGAGCACAUGCAAGUGAGUAUGCAGACAUGAGUAACGUUAAGCCGGGUGAAAUCCCCGGCCGCCGUAAACCCGAGGUUUCCAGGGCAACGUGUUUCGUCCCUGGGUUAGCCGGGACCUAAGCCGAGGCCGAGAGGCGUAGGCGAUGGACAUCAGGUUAAUAAUCCUGAGCUCGCAACCCUUAAACUGGGGGGACGCAUGAGAAAAGAUGACUAGGUUAUUGAAUUCCGAGUUGAGUCUACGGACUCAGCGCAUCAUUGGAUCGAGUGCCAAGAAAAGCCCCAGCGUAUGCUAAGCGACCCGUACCGCAAACCGACACAGGUGGGUGGGUAGAAUAUACCAAGGCGUAAGAGUGAAACCUGGUUAAGGAACUCGGCAAAUUAGCCCCGUAACUUCGGAAGAAGGGGUGCCUGCAGCGAUGCAGGCCGCAGAGAAAUGGCCCAACCGACUGUUUAUCAAAAACACAGCACUCUGCAAAGACGCAAGUCGAAGUAUAGGGUGUGACACGUGACCAAUGCCGAAAGAUUAAGGCAAGGGGUUAGCCGCAAGGCGAAGCUCUAAACCCAAGUCCCGGUGAAUGUCGGCCGUAACUAUAACGGUCCUAAGGUAGCGAAAUUCCUUGUCGGGUAAGUUCCGACCUGCACGAAUCGUGAAACGAGUUGGGCACUGUCUCAACCAGGCGCUCAGUGAAAUUGUAGUGGCGGUGAAGAUGCCGCCUACCCGCAGAAGGACGGAAAGACCCUAUAGACCUUAACUGUAAGCUGUCAUUGUUUCUUCGGUUUUAAUGCUCAGAGUAAGUGGGAGACGCUGAAGACGCCCUUUAGGGGGCGUCCGAGUCAUCAAUGAGACACCACCCUUUGAAACUGGAGGAUCUAACCCUGAGCCGUGAAUCCGGCCAGAGGACCGUGUCAGCCGGUCAGUUUUACUGGGGCGGUAUCCUCCCAAAGAGUAACGGAGGAGCGCGAAGGUGGGCUCAGCCCGGUUGGCAACCGGGUGUCGAGUGCAUGGGCAUAAGCCCGCCUAACUGUGAGACCAACAAGUCGAGCAGAUGCGAAAGCAGGCCCAAGUGAUCCGGCGGUAGAAAGUGGAAUUGCCGUCGCUCAACGGAUAAAAGGUACCUUAGGGAUAACAGGCUGAUCACGCCCAAGAGU
rnacentral:rRNA from 1 species